AAAUUUUAUAACCUAAUUCAUUAAUUAUUCUAAAAUUUAAAGCUAUUUGAAAUAUAGUGGCAAAAUGUAGAAAUAUAAAUAAGAUACAUAUAGUCUAAAAUGUAAGGGGACUUUCGUGAUGAAGAUUGAAAAUUUUACACUAAUUUACAUCAUGUGAUAGAUGUGAUAGAUUUUUAUUAGUUUUUUUCUUAUUAUCAUAAUUAUUACGUUAUUUAGAUGUCAUAUAUAUAAAUUAGGGUCCGGCUAUGGUGCUUUUAAAAGCACCAUGGACUUGGUGCUUGUAAAUUUUUUACCGUUAGAUCUAUGCCUUUUAUCAUUUUUAUCCGUUAGAUUAUACUAUUCAACCAACCACCCACUCAACCCUAGAGGGCCCACAUCAUCCUAACCGCACAUUAUUUAAUCCAAAGGUCGAAAACUUAUAAGUACCAAUAACUUGGUACUUUUAAAAGCAUAGGAGCUCAAUUCAUAUUAAUUAUCCAUUCAAAAUUAUUUUUAUCCCGAUAUGUUAAUAUAUAUUACAGUAAAGUAUUACUAUAAUAAAAUAUAUUUUAGAUGGUGCCUUUUAGAUGAUGAUCUAUUUUGGCAUUUUCAAUAUUUGGCAUGUGCAAACACCAUAAUUAAGCGUCGCCAGUAAUUAUAUUUUUUUCAAAUACUGAUAAAAAUUUUUCGACACCAUAUUGAAACGUUGGUAUAUUUAUCCGACAUGUUUACCUAACGACUUUUACUCAAUUUUACAAGCGUCGAGAUUAUUCUUGUCAACGCUUUAAAACAUCGUUAGUUAUUAUUUAAAUUAUUCUUAAGUACAAAAUAUGUUCGGGUGUGUGUAAACUACAUAAAUAUUAACCUACUAUGUGGAGUCUAUAUGUCCACGUACGGAUGAUCGUGUAAUGAAACCCUUUUAGGAUCUAUUAGGAUCUAUUUUUUUUGUUGGAAAUUAAAUUAAUUUUCAAGUUAAAAUAAUUUUAAUUAAAUUAAAAUUAUUUUUUUUUAUUAUUGUUUACUUUAUAGGUAAUGUUAUUGAAACUCUAGCUAUUCUUUUUUUAAAUUUAUUUUAUCAAAAAUUUUUGCACUUAUAGUAGUAAGAUAAAAAAAAUUAUAAUAAUUAAAAUUUUAUUAUUUUUUAAUCAAUUUUUUCUUCCAUAAUUGAUUAUAAUAAUAAAUAUUAUAAUAAAUAUUUAAAUAUUUAUUAUAAUAUUUAAAUAUAAAUAAUAUGUAUUAAUAUAGUACAAUUAAUAAUUUUAUAAUAAAAAUGAUGUAUUAUAAUAUAUAACAUAUUAUAUUUAUAUAAUUUAGUUUUAAUUCAAUUUAUAAUUUUAGUUAAGUUUGAAAUUAAGUAUUGGAAUAACACUAUUCCACGAAAAUUGUGGAAUAGCAAAUCCCUUGCUAUUCUGGAAUAAUCGGGAAUAGCAACGUUUGACCGGGAUAAAAUAUUCCGGUAAAACAUCACCCCGUUUGGCGGAAUAACGAGGAUAAUUUUUGUUAUCCCCGCUUAUCCCCCGAACCAAACGGGGCCUAAAUAAAUAAACCUACGAAUAAAUUUAAUUUACAAUGAAUUGAAUAACAAAAAUAUGUAUUUAAUUACGGGCGUAGCAACCGUAAAUGCAUGUUAUAUCUUGCUUGGUUAUUCCUGGGCUCACUGUUUAUUUAUAUUUCAGAAUAGGAUAAAUUAUAUUUUUGAUUCUCAAACUUUAAGACACGUAAUAUUUUGGUUCCCAAGAUUAAUUCAAUAUGAUUUAAUAAAAUAUUCUAUAAAUUUUUUUGUUAAAGCAACAAAGGGACGUAAAGUUGAAAAUUAUAAUAUAGUAAAAAUAUUAUCUUUCUGAGAGCAUAAGCUUCACAUACUAUUAUAAUAGAAAAUCACGAGUUCGGAUCAAACAAAUUUUCAAGAAAUGCUAAUAGUGUAAGUUUUCAGGAAGAUUGAAUAUAUAUUUUUUAUCCAAAAAGUUAAGCACAACACGCGAUAUAUUUAAAGAAGUAAAAUAUAUUUUAGCCAAAAAAAACAAAGAUAAUACUAAGGAUUGAUAAUAUAUUAUAUAUACUAGUGCAAAAAAAGAAACUCUUAAAUGAGAAUGUAUACGGUAAUUUACGCUCACUUUUUAGAUGUAUAGAUAUCAUGACCUCUCUUCUAAAAUUUUCUGAGAAAACAAGCUCACUCUAAACAAAGCAUGUUAGAGAUAAAAAUAAUGAGAUUUAAAUUGUAAUAUAAAAUUUGUUAUUUUAUUUCGUCACUAAUUAUUUUUUUAAUUUAAUUCGAAUCAGUAUAUAUUUCUUAUAGAAGUCGAUUAGUAAGGUGUAUAUAUAUAGAUCGAGAGAUAGAGAGAGUCUCGCUAUAGUCCUUUUAGACGCAUUAAGGCGUUAUGCUAUAGCCAUUUUAGCCGUGUGGAUGAACCCUAACAACUCUUAGAUCAUGCACAAUAAUGUUCCCUAUAAGUAACCAUCAUUAUUAACUUUUGAUCCAAUAGUCAAAGAAUAGGUCCAAACAUUAAAAAAUUAUAAGUAUCCAAAUUUUACUGCUUUUAGAAGUAUUCUAAGUUCUAUAUUGAGUUGGGCUAAGAUGCUUUUAAAAGGACCAAUGUAGAGAUGAAAAAAGAUAACAGCCGAAGAAAAUGAAAGAGCAACAGUUUGGUCCAAUGUAGAGAUGUGAGCCCGAUUCGAUUCAAAUAAAAAAAAAAGAAGAAAAAUUCGACUUGAUUCAAGCAAAAAAAAAGAAAAAUAUGUAGAGAACUUAAGUCGGUUCGGAAAAAUCCACACUCAACAAUAAUUGAUUUGGUUGGAGUUAAAAAAAAAGAAAAAUUCAGUUCGAUUCAAGUAAAAAAAAAAAUGUGGAGGACUAGAGCCGGUUCAAAAUAGAUGAUAUUCUUUUUUUUUAUCAUUUCAACACAAUUAAUUUGUCUUUUCCCUCUCUAGCUCUUUUCUGAUUUCAUAUUUACACGAGAUCUCUAUACACCGUAUAUAACAAACGUAUACAAACGUAUAAUUUAUUGGAGGCGCACCGUCGUAACAGAGCCAAGUAAGUAUAUAUGAACUAAUUAAGAAUCCUUGCUUUUAGUAUAUGAACUAAUAAGGAUCUUUGUAUAUAUAUAUAUAUAUACCUGGACAUGAUCAAAUCUAGCUGGAUUCAUGCUUUAAUUUUCUCUUGUCCCUGGGACAGUAAUAGGGCAUGGGCAUGAAUAAGACAUUUUUGGACUUUAAUUCUCAUGGUUGGAGCUCAGGGAUUUUAAUAUUUAAUUUGGACAAGAGAAAGAAAAAGGCACCCAAUUAACCAUCAAUGUCUCUUUUGCUUUGUACACUUCUUGCUGAGCUGUCACCAUUCACAAAUCUUUUCCUUUUUCUUUCCCUUUUUAUAAUACUUCUAAGUGGAGAGAGAGACACCUAAAAAUUAUAAUUAAAAAAAAAAAAGGAAUCUGAAAGAUACUAAGUUGACUUUUCCACGAAGAACAUUUCCACAUAAGGGAGUCAAUUAUAGAUAUUAUUAUUAUUAUUAGGAAAAACUUCAAAUAUCCCGUGUGGUUUCGCACUUUCUUAUUUUAAUAUCAUAUGAUUUAAAAUAUAUCAAGUUAGUACCAUGUGGUUUCACACUUUCUCACUUUAGUACCCUUUGGUUUAAUGUGACCGCUAUAUGUUUUCAUUAUGAUUUUUACCUAUAUCUAAUUCGAAUAUGAAUCUAAACCAGUUUUAUAUUAUAUAAUAUAUAAAAAUUUUAAUUUCUAUUGUAAAAUUUUCGAUCUGUGUAUGACAUGUUUUAAAAUUCGGUAGAAAGAAAUUAUAGUUUUCCAAUUCGGAUUUUCGAGUUCAAUUUCAAAAUUCAAAUUUUUUGUCGGAUUUGGUUUUCAUUUGGAUUUUUAAAAUCCUAUAGAUUCGGAUUUCGAUUUUGAUAGGUGCGAAUUUAGGUUCGGAUUUUUAAACUUUCGUCUUAAAUUCGUUGCAUUGGCAUCCCUACCUCAGGCUUCAUUGGGGCUUGUUAUAAAAGUAGGGCAAAUUGCUUGUUUGGUACUCAAACUUUGAUACCGGUGACAUUUUGAUCCUCAAAUUUUAAUUUUAUUAUAAGUUUUAGCUCAAAUUUUUAAAUUGUUGUAAUCAAAUCUCACAACCCAAUUGGAUUGACUAAGUAUUGUUGCAUCGUUGAUAUGCAAGUGAUGUAGUAUUUUAAUUUUGGUGCAUCAUCAAUCACAACACUACUGUAUUACUUCUAUAUUAAAAAUAUAUUGAUAGUUAAUAAAUUAAAUUAAGUUAUUAGACUUGAUUAUAAUAAUUCUGAAAGCCGAGCUAAAAAUUACAAUAAACUAAAGUUUAAGUACCAAAAUUUCACCUGUCUCAUUAUUUAAGGACAAAACGUGAAAUUUACCCUAAAGAAUAUUAUUUAAACAUGUAUCAAAAAUUUGGUUGUUACUGUACUUCUAAUACUUUUUGUUUCAAGAAGUUAAGGCCUUAUUUAAGAUCUCUAUCUUUCUUGAUGUCUCUUUUCUAAAUGUAGACGUCGUUUUUUUGAGAGAGAAACGUAAUAAAUUACUUGUUUCGAUUAUUUUAUUUAAAAAUAAAAUAAUUAUAAAAUAUGAAGUAAUUAGAUUUCGAACUCAAGAUCUUAAGUAUCAGCAAUUAAACUUUUUACCAUUUGCGCUAAAAACAGUCGAUCUAAAUAUUGCGCUAGCUAGGAAUGGUACGUCUAAAUAUUCAUUUUUGUUUCCAAAGAUUGCUCGACUGCAUGUAUAUAUGUCUAUGCAUAUACCCGUAAAAUUUGUUUGGCAAUAAAAAUGUUAAUAUAUAAAGGCUUUGGCGCAAACAAUAGAGAGGUUCAUCUAUGCAUCUGCAAAUUCACUCCCAUAGAAUUUAUGUACUAAAAAAUACAAAAUUACAAAAAUUCACAGUUAAAUUUUAUUAAAAAAAACUUCAAAUUCAAAAAACUUUUCACAAUGUUUCAACUAAUUAUAUUGCUUGCACUUUAAUUUUCAUCUUACACUUUGUCGCAUUAUCAAGUAGUCUCUAUUUAUUAUGUUCUUCGAGAGUGUGUCAAAGUCUAGUAUCAAAACUAUAGCAAAAAAAAUGUAGGAGGAUACUUGACAUUUUGUUUAUAAGUGUAUGUCAAAAAAAAUAAAUAAAUAAAUAAAGGGUAAGUUGUGUGCGUGGAAGGGGGAGGAAGGGUAGGUUGUGGAUAAUGUUCGAUCGAUAGAUCGUCACAACGUCUACACAAGUGUAACAUAUAGUCGAGUGAAAGCAAACACUCAUUACACAUGUGAAACAUACAGCCGAGAGAAAGCAACCACUCGCGAUACUCAGGCCUGAAACGCUCUAGGCGUGUGUUACAUCAACAUCAGUAGAAGCGCGCUCUCAUGAAAGCAACUCAAGAUUGUUUUCUCAAGUCGCAACUUCACAUAGCCCUUUAAAGCGCAUGUUCCAAAACCCUCGUCCGAAGCAUAAGCUGAAUUCACCUUACUAGCGUGUGUUCAAAGUGUACGGCUUUACGUCCCAGUCUAUAUAAUUCAGUACUUAGUAAAAACACAGGCAAUUCAAACAUCAUUAAAAGUGAGCAGCACGUGACAAUAAUAUUUGUUACUGAAAAAGACAUAAAGUACGAAAAAGUUUCAACACCUUCUAUAAUAUAACUGGUUAUACUUUACUAUCCUAUGGUUGAGGUGAUAGCACUUUUGCAUCCAUUUAAACUAUAUUUGUAACUACAUAUUAUUGGGACUACCCGUAACAACCAAACAAGAGAGACCUAAAGUGUCACAUUUGAAGCCACAAGAUACUGCAUAGAAUUGAGGUACACCACGUAGGUAGCAUUUUGAUUCUUUUUUUUUUUGAUUUUAUUAUAAAACUUUUAGCUAUUUUAUAUCAAAAUGGAGAAUUUCUUUUAGGAACCAAGCCAAAUAUAUAGGCACCAGCUUAUUUACUCCACAAAUUAAACAAGAUUGUUGAGACGGGGCUAAGCAAAGUUUCAGCGAAGUGCGUUGAGCACCGAUCAUCGUGGAUUAAGAUUUUUAUCUUGUUUUAAUCUCAAGAUAUCGAUCUGAAUUUUGAAGCGCUGCAUGCAUAUCGCAACUGAUUGAUACAGAGGAGCUCUACUAGUCUUUGAAUUCAGAAUAGUACUAUCACAAAAUAGUAAAUUCUAUGCAUUUUUGAAAAAUAAAAAAUAGACAACAAACUCUAUUUCUCUAUUAAGAAUAACACUCUAAUUUUUCUCAUAUCAACGGAUCUAUACAUACUUGCUAUGCCCGACUUAUAUUUAACUAAAAUUUAGCCAAUUUCAAUUUGUGUUAUUGACAAGGGUUAAUUGCCCUGCAAACGUAAUAAAUUACAAAUAUAUUCUUAUAAAGUUUAAUUUUCAUAUAUUGUCAUUACAAAAGUUCUAAUAUUUUAAAAUAUGUCCCUCUAACUUGUUAUUGUUAUAUAACUAUUUAUUUUUUAACAGCAAAUAAGUAAAAUAUCAAUUUUGCUAUCAUAAAUAUGUUCAUCCAAAAGUCCCAACUGCUAUAAUCGUACAAAAAUGCCUCUCUGAAAAAUUUUCAAUGGUCAUCCACUAUUGUUGCAACCUCUUCUCUCACCCCUUUUCUCAUACUUUUUUUAAGCAAAUAGGAAAAAAUUAUAGAGAAAAUUGUGGAAAACAUGCAACACGCAUUCGACAUGCAUAUGGAUGAAGCAACACGCGUUGUAGAUAAAUGGGAAUGAAAAAAUUCUAAAUAUAGGUUUGAAACUAGCAUGCAAGAGAGAGAGGAAAAGGAAGAUAAGGAAGAAGAAGAGUUUUCAUUAUUAGAAUUUUAAUUGAGAGAAGAAAGUAUAAUAUAAGAGGGGUACUUUACUGACUAAUUAGAAUUAAGUAUUUUAUCAAUGAUUAACUAAAUUUUUCUAACGAAACCUAACGGCAGAAACAAUUUUAAAAAUAUUAGAACUUAAAAUAUAUAUAUAUAUAUAUAUAAAAGUUUAAUUUUAUAAGUAUAUAUUUGUAAUUUAUUGUGUUUGCGUGGAGCUGUUAAUAUGUCACCCUGAGUAAACUAUUGGAGAGUGCUGACGUGGCGGGACGAGAGGCGUGCUUCGAUGGUGACUGUGAUGAAACCACGACAAGCCAAAAUGACCAAAUCUGUGCUCAAGUUUUGUCCAUUGGUGAUUGGCCACAAACAACUCACGUGAUAAUGAUGUGAAUCCAAAUAUUAGUUCUCCAUCUUUGUCGUAUCUUCAUCGCAUGAACUGUCUGAUAUAACGCUUAAUUAAUUUCUUAAUUAGAGAAGAAGAGUUUGGUUACAAUAUAAAAUAUUAUUCAUGCACGUAUGUAUCUCCUAGUAUCUUCGUAACAAACGAUAACACAUUUUGAAAUUACAACUACUUGAGCAUCUAGAGAAAUAAAUCCAUUGUUUACUUUAAAAGCAUUGUUUCCUAUUCGCGCCACUUCCUAGUAGGUUGCUUAUUUUAGAACUACUUUAAUUUUCGGGCUCAGCCAGCGUCCAAAAUAUUAUAGACUCAUAUGAAUGACUAGAUCUUAGAAGUUAAGAGAGCUAAAUGUUCUAGAAUUAUAGUAGUCUUAAAAAGUGGGACGUCACACAUAUUAUUAAUUCAGUAUAUAUAAUAUAAGCUAUUUGAACUUUAUUAUAAGAACUAUAUUAAAUAUAUAUUAUUGUCUGCAUAUAAGUCCAUUGAUCUUGAAUGCUUCUAAAAGCGUAAAAGAGUAUCUAAUAUUAACUUUUUUAAUCCUAUGCGCAUAAUAGUGCCACCACCAAAUUAAUGGUAAAUUUUAGGCAUCUAAAAGAGUUUAAAAGUAAGGAACAAACAAUACUUUAUGUAUUUCUAAGAGAAUUCUAUGUCCACUGGUCGAAAUAUUAUGAAAAUCUAGUUUUUAGAAAGUUCAAAUUGUUUCUAUUGUAUUUAGUAAUACUGAUUAUUGAUUCUGAUGCUCUAUCGCCGGAAACAAAGUGAAAGUAAACUAUUUUGUUUACUUUUAAAAAUAUUCCAAUUUUAUUCACAUUAUAGUGAUUUAUGUGAUAUUAAUUUUGCUGAUCACAAAACUCGAACGCACAAUACACUCUCCUCCGUUUAUACGUUAUAAAAGAUAAUAAACAUGCGCAACAACUGUUUGUAUUCCAAAAAUUAAAUUAAUAGAUAACACGAUAUUUGUAAUAUUUUAUAUUGUUCAAUAUAUUUAUUUUAUGUAUAAUUUUACAGAGGGUCAGAGUUUAAACACAUGGCCGAAUUUGGUCCCUACAUGGAUUGAAUAAUAAUAAUAAUAAAAAGAAAACAAACAUUUAAACCCCGGCAUAUAUAUAUUAUUAAUGAUGUGAAAGGUGGUGCCAUGUUUCCUUUUCCAAAAAACGAACAUCAUCAUUUUAUUAGUAAAUGUGCAAACACUUAUUAAGUUAAUUGACCUUUAUUAAGUAUAUGCCAAAAUUAAGUAUAUUGCAAACACUUAUUAAGUAUAUAUGCCAAAAUUAAGUCGCGGCACAUUAAUUAGCUAGAAAGAGAUUAAAUUAAGAAAAGCCAGAUCAACAAAAGUAGUUGAGGUUAAUUAAUUAGGGAACUGUAUUAUUGUUUAUCAGGAGAGGUGGCACAAGUAGAGUAAUUGUAUAAUUAAUUAGUAUUAACUAAUUAUAUAAAAGCAUCGAAUCUCAUGUACGUAUUUGUAGAAAGAGUAAUGCUAUCGUUCAAUACUUCGAUAGUAGAGAAUUUUAUCUGACAAAUCAAAAUGAUUUUUCACAAAAAUAUUGCAAUUUAUGAACAAAAUAAUAUAUAGUUAUUAAUUGUAAAAUUUCGUCAAUGAGCAACGAAUAUUUCUCAUAAAUAUUACAGAAUUUAAUUAUAAUUAAAUAUAUUAAUUAUUCCCUUUUCCCACCCAAUAUAUUUGUAUAUAUAUAUAAAUAUAUAAUAUAUAUUAUAUAUAUAUAUAUAUAUUAUAUAUAUAUAUUAUAUAAGCACCUAACUCUCCACAUGGAACUAACUCAUCCUGGGAAGCUACGUCACUUUCGUUGAACAACUAAAUUAAUCACAUUUGGUCCUUUUGUUUUUUGUUUAUUUUUUUUUUUUUUUUUUUUUUUUUUUGUUUUUUUUGGAGAAAGCCCCUUUUGCUGAACCAUUCAUAUCUUAUGCAAUUUUAUUGCUAGAAAUAUAAAAAUAAAAAAGGGGAAAAAUAUUAAAGGGGAGAGAAAACAAAAAAAAUGGUUUGCUCUUGUACAUGAUGUCUAGUUUGUACAGAAGAGAAGAAAUUAAAAAUAAAAAUUCUUUCUAUUUUUAAAAAUUUCUAUUUUGCCUCCUUUAUAAAAGUUUAAAAUUUAUAUCACAGCACUUAAUCUUGCAUUGUUGUUAUUUUGUCACCAUUCCGUACACAUAUUAUAUGGUAUAAUUGAAAUUUUUAAAAAAUACUCAUUUUAUCCCUAAAGUACAUGACAGAAAAAGUAAAAUUAAUUAGUAAAUAAUAAAAGAUUUAUUUUUUUAUAUAGUUAAUUAAUCAACCUGAAAAAAAAGAAAAUAUUUUUGCAACUUUUCGUAAUAGGUAUCUCAGUUAAUAAUUUAUUUGUGCCAUGCAAUUUAUGCAUAGAAUAGUGAUAAAAUAGUAACAGUGCUAGGUUAAAUGCUAUAAAUUUAAAUUUUAAGAAGGCAAAAUAAGAUUUUUUAAAUUGAAAAAGUAAAGUGCAAAAGUAGGUAUUUACAAAAAAAAAUUUUGUUUGUAUCUUAGCUUAAGGAAAAAAAACUUUUGAUAGUUUAUCUUUUCUUGUUCUUUCCUCUUUGUGAGGAAAAUAAAGUUAUGACGAUUUUAGGGCUUUGUUUUUCUCUUCUAAUCUCUCCAAUAUUUGUUUAUCUCCAUAACUUUCAUUCCCGCUGCAUGGAUAAAGCUGUAUAUAUUUAUAUUUAUAACAAUAUAUAAAAAUAAUAAUUUUAACGCACAUAUUAUAUAUCCUACCAUUGGUAAUAACCACUACUUCAAAAGGUCGAACUAUUAGAAUAAACUAAUCAAUUUAUUUAAAAGUGUAUGUAUAAACACAGUGCUCACGAGUCUCGACCGUGAUUUGAUUGAAUUAGUUCAGCGUCCGCCGCGUACACAAAAUGCUGGCCUCCUAGCUUACGAUCGACGUGUCGUACAUAGCGCUUGCUACUUUUACGAAAAGUACAUGCGGAGCAGCUAAAGGCACGUUUGCAAGAAGCUCUCUUUUGCUGGGCAAGUGAUCCGUGCUGUGGUGUGGUUCCACAGCUUGAUAGAUCAUCUGCUUUACAUGGAUCUCCGUCGUUAUCUCUCGUUGUCGUAUUAAUUGUUGCCCCACUGUACAAAUGUCUGAGCAUAUAGAUUCAGUUAUUGAAAGUUGUUUUUGAUGAUCCCAAAUUAAGAAAAUUUAACCAAAGUUGUUUGAAAAAGUCGAUCCACAAUUUAUUACUAUAUAUGUACUUUGAGAAUUCUAAUUUUGUGCACUAUAUAUUGAGUUAUAAAGGAAAAGAGAUCAAUAAUGCAAAGAGGCUGCUUUCCUACCAUAUUAAAUACUAUGAAAUAAUCGUUGUUUGGGCUGCGUUUGAUUCAAAAACUAAAUUAUGAAGGUAACUUUUGUUCUUCUCGACAACAGGUAACAGUUUUAUUUUGUUUGUUUGUUUCUGAAAAGAUAUUCCUGAUAGUUUUUUUGAAUAUUUAUGUCGGAAUAAGAUAUUGGAUCGAUAAAAAUUAAAUAGGAUAACAAUUUUGCCCUUGAAUGUAAUAAUAAUAUAUAUAAUUUUAAGCAUAAAAGUGAAAAUACAAUUUCAAUUUUAUAAUUUAACAAAUAAUUAUAUGUUAUUUAAAAUAUAGAAGAGCAGAUUAAUUUACAAAUUUAGUAUAUUUGCAAAUCAACUUAGAAAAAUUAAUGCAGGAGCAUGCAAUUUGAGCAUUCAUUUGAUUUGUUUUAAAAUUUGAUUCAAAUAAAAUAUAAAAAAAUAAAGUUGGAUAAAGGGGCAAAAAUUUGUUGUUCUGACUUAUUCUCCAUGUGGGAAGGAAAGGCGAUAUAUCUCUAACCAAAAUAUAUAAUAGAAUAAUAAGCUGUCAAAAAACAAUAUUUUUAUAUCUUUAUACUCAAUACGAAUAAUAUAAUCAAAUAAAUUAAAAAAUUAGAUGAGUAGAUAAGAUACAAAAAGUGUUGAAUAAUUGUACUAAAUGGUCCGAAGUUUAGGUUAGUUUCGUGCGUUUGUACCUUUUUCUCUUCUUAUCAACAUCUCGUGAAUAGUAAUCUUAAACAAAAAGUUUAGUUUUCAUUUAUCGCAUCUCUGCGUCGACCUACCAAAGCAGAGCAUUCUAGGUUCAAGAAGAGCUACCUGAAAUAAACACUCAUUUCUGCUUCUCGCUGAAGCUAGAAGCUCGAUCCUACAAAAUAAUUACCUUAUUUCUAACUUCUCUUUAGUAGGAAAAAAAAAAAAAAAAAAGAACAAUUAAAUUUGCACCGCUCAAACUCUACGUGGCUUUUGUGGACAAGUCUGUUGGCUUAAAGGGGCUAGCAUCGUACUUUGUUGCAGGAGGUCUGAUUAGAUUGAGCCACAUUCAAAAUAACAUAAGACUGGAUUGGGUCGAAUUAUGUUCGAAAUUGUGUGAGAUUGAUCGAACCGAGUCAUAAUUGAGACUUGUAAGCACCGUGUAUGUGCACUUUAAGUGAAUUAGUUGUGUAUUUCUAACAGCUCGAGCUUUUAAAAUUAAUAGUUAUUGCCAAUGAUUGGACAAGUAGUUUUAGAGACAGAGCACACGAAUUCGAUUCUCACAUGUUAUGAAUUUAUGCAGGUGCUGGAGGGGAGGGGGGGGGGNUGUUGGCUUAAAAGAACCAGCAUUCUACUCUAUGGCAAGAGACCAGAUUAGGCCGAGUCAUAUUCGAAGUGGCGUGAGACUGGUUGGGCCGAGUCUUGUUCGAAAUGGGGUGGGGCUGCUUUAAAAGUUUAUUAUUUUAUAUUUUAUAUAGAUGAUGGUAAAAUUACCUUAAAUAUAAAAAAAGCAAAAUAUUUUUUGUUUAAAAAAUAAUUAAGAAGGUAAGCACACUAUUUGUUUAAAAUUACUCUCUCUAACUGCUGUAGUUGAAACAGCGGCCAAUUUGGACGUAAUUCCUACUGUUGCAAUUAUACCUCCUCUUACAAUUCCAACUGUAGCAGUUAAAGUUAAACAUAUCGAACCAAACAUUGAAUUUAUAUUUAUAUAUAGUUACAACUACAGUAUAGUUAUAAUUACAUGCAAUCAAACGAUCCCUAAAUAAAUUAACUAUGUAUUUUUAACAAUUUAAAUUUUAAAAUUAAUAAUUAGCGUCAACGAUGUGACAAAGUACACGUAAUGGAGCGCUCUCAAUCUUUUUACUAUCAUACAAGUCGUGUUAUCCUAAUUUAUUAUUGCCUUGCCCAACAUGCACACGAAUUUAAGUUUGGGAGGCCCCCUCUAUUAUUCGUUUUAAAGUCCAACCACAUCACGGAGCUCUUUUUGUGUCCCAAUUUUGUCUGUAGGUCCAUGAGAAGUUUAGGCCCUUUAGCCGGAUAAAACUUCAAUGGGAGCCACUAAUCUGCUGUUAAAAAUUUUAGAUAACUUUUAAUACUAAGAUCAAAAAAAAUUAAUUGUAUAGAAUAGGGUUAUAAAUUUUGGAUAGACAAAACAGGCACGUCGCAGUGAAUCGAAGGCUCCUCAAUGUGUCUUUGUUGGGAAAAAGUUUUUCCCCCUUUUAGGGCAUUGAUUUUGUUUUGUCUUAUAAAACUACAAAAAGGAGAACUAGACGAAAACUACAAUUUAUCUUCUUUUUUUUGGGUUGGGAAUUCGAUACUCGUCCCGAUAUCUGAUUUUGUGAAUCCGCAACCCGCUCCGAUACCGACUGUUGUAGAUCCGAUACCGAUUGUUGGGAUUCUGCAACGGAAGCGGCGAAUCGGAUUUUUACCAUAAAUCUAUCUCCUCAAUAGAAAUUGAUACAAUCACAAAAGAGAGAAAAAUCAAAGCAGAAAAUAUGCGGAUAAAAUAAAAAUCAUUAAAUAAAAAAAAUAUUACACCCGACUCCUCUUUUGCAACUGAGUAGUUACAACCCUAACCCUAUUCUUGAAUCUCUCUCACCUUUCUCUCGUCUUUUAUAAAUCCAAAAGACAACUCUUUUUCUCUCUCAUAUGCAUCCGCGCACUAUGUGCAUGCAACCGACCAACUCUCACUCUCUAGUACAACCCAUCAAAGAGCUUCAACUUUUUGACGGUACUCACUCUCCAAAAGCACCCCGCAUGGUACGUAUAUAAUGCUUGCAAUAAAACGUACCCAAAUUCUAGCAUAUUUAAGAUUUCUAUUCUAAUAAAUAUUUAAAUUUUAAUUUAUCUCCGAUAGAUUUAAAUAUUUAUCAUAAUCUAGUUAGAUUCAUACUCUAAUUAAUAUUUAAAUCUUAAUUUAUCUCCAACAAAUUUAAAUAUUAAUCCUAAUCCAAUUAGGAUUCAACUACAAAUCUAACUAAAUCCUAACAUUUUGAGCCACAAAAUCCAUUUUAAAGCAAAAAAGCUAAUUUAAUCUGUUCAUGAAGAGUUAGUUAAAUCGUCUCCAAAAAGAAGGGACGCAUCUUAAAUUAUCGAAGCAAUUUACGUUGUCUCCUAGAUACUUAAGUGUUGCUUGAUAUCACAAUCUUAUAUAAGACGCUUCCAAUUGAAACUUUUACAAUAGAAUCAAAAGUACUAAAAUUUUUACUUCUACUUCUAGCUACCUCAAAAGUUGUAGUUUAGUCUUGUUGUCAAAUACUCUGCUAAAAUUCCGCAGCGCAGCAGCGAUGUAAGCAAAGUUACACGGACACUUAAUUUAUAGCUCAAUGACCGUCGCCGCAUCGUUAUACAGCAAUAAAAGUAGAACCAAAUAGACACUAAACGAUUCGGAUAAUCUAAUGACUUUUUCCCGUUGUGCUAUUUAAUUGCAGUAAAAAUUAAGUUAUUAUAAAGUAUACUUUACUGUAAUAGUUUGUACUGUUGUGAUAAUAUAAAUUAUAUUAUUUAGCCAUUUAUACCAUAUAAUUAAAUAAUUUAUAGCAAUAAUUUGCAAUGAUUCUUGUUUAUUGCCAAAAUUUAUUAUUUUAACUAAUAGUUACAAAUUGCAGCAGCAUUUAUUGUUGGGAAGUAAUGAAUUUCCAGUGUUGGUUGCAUGUGAUUGAAGAGACUAAUCUAUAUAUAAUAUCCCCUCAUUCUUGGAGAAUAAUUAUUGUUUUACACCUUUUACUUCUUAUCGAAAAAAAAAAAGGUAGAAAAAAAAAGUUAAAAUAAAAGCAGAAUAUUAAACAUAUAAAUAUAAGUGAAAAUUUCAUAACUUCCCUUCCAAAUAAGUCUAAUAUCAUGAAUGCCCCUAUAAAAAUUGAAAUAUCAUAAAUAACCUUUUAAAAGAGAGAAACUUUCAAAAAUAACCUUCACACUAAUUUAUUAUCAAUUUUGAAUAAACAACAAACAAAAUUCCAACUUUGCCCUUAUUGUCAUUACCAUCUUAAAAUAUUUAAUUGACUAUAAAAUUAUUUAUAAUUUUAUAAACACUCUUUUAAAUUUAUAAAUAACCUACAUUUAGAAAUAAGUUUUUUGUCAGUUAAAAAAUAUAUAUAUAAUCCUGACAAGUUAAGCUAAAAAAUAAAAAAAAUCAAAAGUUUUGAAAAAAAUUUAGCAAAAAAUUGUUUAAAGUAUCAAUUGACUCAUUAAAAUUAGGUUAAACAGUUUAUUCAAAAUAUAACUUAAAUAUAUAUGCAUGAUGUGAAUUAAGUUAUUUGAACUAGCACAAAUUUCUGUGCUUUGGGAUCUCGAAUUUAAGAUAAAUGAUAUAAAGUAUCUUAUUUUAUAAACCACACAGCAGUAAAAUGAUAUAUUUGACUGUUUAUUUUAAUAUUUUAAAAUAAAUACAUCAUGCUAAAAUACUUUUGUAAAAAAUUUUAGAAGUUAAGGGCAAAGUGGACAUUUCGACCAUAUUUAUGAUAAUCUAAAUAUUUUAUAAUUCUAUGAAGAGAUGAAUUGUAAGGAUAAGGGUAUAUUUGAAAAAUAAUAAGUAUUUGUAGGAGUAAUUGUGAUAUAAUCAAAUUUAUAUGGGCAUCUAUGAUAUUUUUUAAGUUUAGAGGGGCACAAAUGAAAUUGACCCUAAAUAUAAAUAUUAAAAUAUCAUUCUCUUAUAACUUAAGCUUAAAAUUACAACAUUAAUUAUCACAGUAUCAGAGUGGAAGAGAUUCUGAAUUCAAAUUCCACCGAUCCCCUCGUCUAAUAUAACUUUCUCAUUUUAAUUUUGGCUUACACUUUUUGGAGAACAACGAUUGUUUCGUUUUGUUUAACACGGUAUUAGAGUGAAAAAGAUGCCAAAUUCAAAUCCAACCAUACAUACCCCUAGGCUAAUUUAAUUUUUUUAUUUAAUUUAAAU
rnacentral:lncRNA from 1 species